rnacentral:rRNA from 1 species
AGAUACCCCGGUAGUCCACGCCGUAAACGUUGUGUACUAGGUGUUAGUGGCUUGACCACUAGUGCCGUCGCAAACGCAUUAAGUACACCGCCUGGGGAGUACGUCCGCAAGGAUGAAACUCAAAGAAAUUGACGGGGGCCCGCACAAGCGGUGGAGCAUGUGGUUUAAUUCGAUGAUACGCGAAGAACCUUACCUGGGCUUGAACUGCAUCUGAUCGGUGUAGAGAUACACCCUCCUUCGGGCAGGUGCAGAGGUGCUGCAUGGUUGUCGUCAGCUCGUGUCGUGAGAUGUUGGGUUAAGUCCCGCAACGAGCGCAACCCUUACCCCUUGUUGCCAUCAGGUAACGCUGAUCACUAUAGGGGAACUGUCGGUGAUAAACCGGAGGAAGGUGGGGAUGACGUCAAAUCAUCACGGCCCUUAUGUCCAGGGCUACACACGUGCUACAAUGGCCGGUACAAUGAGUUGCGAUGCCGCGAGGUGGAGCUAAUCUCAAAAAACCGGUCUCAGUUCGGAUUGUAGUCUGCAACUCGACUGCAUGAA